rnacentral:rRNA from 1 species
UACGUAGGGUGCGAGCGUUGUCCGGAAUUAUUGGGCGUAAAGAGCUUGUAGGUGGUUUGUCGCGUCUGCUGUGAAAAUCCGAGGCUCAACCUCGGACUUGCAGUGGGUACGGGCAGACUAGAGUGUGGUAGGGGAGACUGGAAUUCCUGGGUGUAGCGGUGGAAUGCGCAGAUAUCAGGAGGAACACCGAUGGCGAAGGCAGGUCUCUGGGCGUGUAACUGACGUGAGGAGCGAAAGCAUGGGGAGCGAACAGG